rnacentral:rRNA from 1 species
GACGAACGCUGGCGGCGUGCUUAACACAUGCAAGUCGAACGGAAAGGCCCUGCUUUUGUGGGGUGCUCGAGUGGCGAACGGGUGAGUAACACGUGAGUAACCUACCCUUGACUUUGGGAUAACUUCAGGAAACUGGGGCUAAUACCGGAUAGGAGCUCCUGCUGCAUGGUGGGGGUUGGAGAGUUUCGGCGGUUGGGGAUGGACUCGCGGCUUAUCAGCUUGUUGGUGGGGUAGUGGCUUACCAAGGCUUUGACGGGUAGCCGGCCUGAGAGGGUGACCGGCCACAUUGGGACUGAGAUACGGCCCAGACUCCUACGGGAGGCAGCAGUGGGGAAUAUUGCAAAAUGGGCGGAAGCCUGAUGAAGCAACGCCGCGUGCGGGAUGACGGCCUUCGGGUUGUAAACCGCUUUCGCCUGUGACGAAGCGUGAGUGACGGUAAUGGGUAAAGAAGCACCGGCUAACUACGUG